UACGAGGGGGGCAAAUGUUGUUCGGAAUCACUGGGCGUAAAGGGAGCGUAGGCGGGCUCUUAAGUUAGGUGUUUAAUCCCGGGGCCCAACCCCGGACAGGCACCUAAAACUGGGAGUCUUGAAUAGUGGAGAGGACGGCGGAAUUGGGGGUGUAGCGGUGGAAUGCGUAGAGAUCCCCAAGAACACCAGUUGCGAAGGCGGCCGUCUGGACACAUAUUGACGCUGAGGCGCGACAGCGUGGGGAGCAAACAGG
rnacentral:rRNA from 1 species